rnacentral:rRNA from 1 species
GACGAACGCUGGCGGUGUGCUUCACACAUGCAAGUCGAACGAGGUAGCAAUACCUAGUGGCGGACGGGUGAGUAACGCGUGGGAAUCUGCCUUUAGAUGGGGGAUAACGGGUCGAAAGACUCGCUAAUACCGCAUAUGACGAAAGUUGAAAGGAGUAAUCCGUCUAAAGAUGAGCCCGCGUCCGAUUAGCUAGUUGGUAGAGUAAAAGCCUACCAAGGCGACGAUCGGUAGCUGGGUCUGAGAGGAUGAUCAGCCACAAUGGGACUAGAGACACGGCCCAUAC